GGACCCCGCUCUGCCCGCCGCGCCGGCUCGGUGGGGAGGGACUCGGAGCCCCUGGCGUGGAGCUGGUAGCUUUGUCCCGGCCGGUGUCUGGCUUGGCCCGGGGUGCGCGCCGCAAAACCGAAGGCAGGUACCGUCUGGGGUCGGAUCCUGAGGCUCCUCUGUCCUUCACGCUGAUCCACUGAAAGAGUCCCCGAACUGUAAGUAACUUUGAUUGGCAUUUUCUCCUGUCUUUCAUUGAGGUUAUGGGUUAAAGAUCGAGCCAGAAAUUUGAUAUUUGGCUGCACCGCACUGGGUAAUGAAACAUCUAACAAUGAACUAGUCAGGAUUUAAAAUACAGUGAAAUUCUAAUUAGAUUAGUCUGAAUGUGACAAAGGAGCCCUGUAAUAUGACAUUCUAUUUAAUUAGUCUUUAUUGAUUGUGCUUUAAGGUAGACUUCAUAUACCGUGUGUG
rnacentral:lncRNA from 1 species